UGGAAACUUACUAAGUGAUCACUUUCAAAUUCAGAGAAACCCUGGAAUUAACAAAAAUGGGCAAUCCUGAGCCAAAUCCUGUUUUCCGAAAACAAACAAAGGUUCAGAAAAAAAAGGAUAGGUGCAGAGACUCAAUGGAAGCUAUUCUAACAAAUGGAGUUAAAUGCGUUGGUAGAGGAAUCUUUACAUCGAAACUUCAGAAAGAAAAAGAAUGAAGUGAAGGAUAAACGUAUAUACAUACGUAUUGAAUACUAUAUCAAAUGAUUAAUGAUGACCCGAAUCCGUAUUUUUUCUAUAAAAAAUAGAAGAGUUGGUGUGAAUCGAUUCUACAUUGAAGAAAGAAUCGAAUAUUCAUUGAUCAAAUCAUUCACUCCAUAGUCUGAUAGAUCUUUUGAAGAACUGAUUAAUCGGACGAGAAUAAAGAUAGAGUCCCGUUCUACAUGUCAAUACCGGCAACAAUGAAAUUUAUAGUAAGAGGAAAAUCCGUCGACUUUAAAAAUCGUGAGGGUUCAAGUCCCUCUAUCCCCAAAAAGACUAUUUCACUCCCCAACUAUUUAUCCGACCCCC
rnacentral:precursor_RNA from 3 species